GUUAGGUUUAGGUUUAAGGACACUGUUGGUUAGGUUUAAGAACACUAUCGGUUAGGUUUAGGUUUAAGGACACUGUUGGUUAGGUUUAAGAACACUAUCGGUUAGGUUUAGGUUUAAGAACACUAUCGGUUAGGUUUAGGAACACUGUCGGUUAGGUUUAGGAACACUGUCGGUUAGGUUUAAGGACACUGUCGUUUAGGUUUAAGAACACUGUCGGUUAGGUUUAGGUUUAAGGACACUAUCGGUUAGGUUUAUUGUAGGGAGGUUGGAUUUGUUGAUUUAAAACUCGUUCCUGUAUUAACCUUAAAACUUACUAUGUUUGAGAUAGAGGUGGAUUUUGCAGAUAUGUCUGUCUGUCUGUCUGUCUGUCUGUCUUUCUCUUCCUGUCUUUUCUAUCUAUCUGUCUUUCUGUAUGUUUUGUCAAUUUUUUUGGCUUUAAAAUUGUUCCUUUUCUUAAAGAUAAAUGAUUUGCUUUGAUAUUUUAUUAUGUAAUUUAAUGACAUUCAGACAUUUUAAGUUUGACGCAAGUGAAUAAACACUUUUUAGGACCACUGUACAAAUAUCCAUCUCAGACAUACACACUCGUAAUUACCUUCUUGAGUUGCCAAGAUGCAUUUGUGUUGAUGUUAGAAAAAUAUCUGAUGCAAACCUUUUGCCAUAUGUAUCAUUUCAUGUGUGUGUGUUUAUGGUACUCUCUGUCUCUCUCUCCAGUUCUAGUCAAAUGAGUGAUUUUAUAAUUGUUUGAAAUAAGCUGAAAUUCCUCCAUCUUUCCUUCUUUGGCCUUUCCCAUGACCAGCGCAGUGUGUGUCUGGAAGGAAUACAACCUCAUCAACUUCCAUCAGUCCAUCACAACUGAUUUGUCAGUUCAACAGAGUCAUCUUGUCUAUCUUAAUGAAAGUCUAUUCCAUUCAAUUCUAUCCAUUUGUUUUUAUUAACACACUUGGCCUAAUUUUUAUACAGCAAGUACUUUGAAAAUUAAUUGAAAAAUUGUGUGUGUGUGUGUGUUUAUGGAACGCUGUUUCUUCACAGUUAUAAUUGUUCUAUUCUCACAUCUUCAUCACCUUGAAAGUGACCCAUCAAAUUUAUGUUUGCUUUUCAAAAGUGAUUAUUAUAUUUUUGUAAAUGAUUUCAGUAAUUUAGCAAAGUUCUGCCAGAUGUACACCCUAUCUACACUAGAAAAAUCCCAUUCUCUCAUUUUCUUCGUAGGUGAAAUGAUUAUUAACUACAACUUAUAAACUUUUAAAGACAGACCUACCAUGAGCUCUGAGGUUGUUAAUCAAUGGUAUAUUCUUCUGUUAAAGCCAUCAGUCCAUGUUAUUUCUACUACAUUGUUUAAAAACUACCCAUAAUCCUAAAGAAAGAUCCACCAAUCAGAGAAUCGUGGUGAAAAAAGUGCGCCAAAAGAACUCUGCAGUGACCGCCCACUCCCAUGUUGCACUGUGAAUGAUGCAUUUGAGUCGCUCUCCCUAAAAUCUUAAACUACUGAUAUAUUUUUAUAUCUGAAAGAGUGGUUGGACACUGUUACGCUCUAUAAAUCCAAUUGUGCAAAGUUUUAGCCUGAUUGGAUAAAAAAGUGUGGGCCGCUCCCCUGACUCUUUUUAAUUUAGUUCUCUCAACACCUAUUCUACUUACACAACAUUUAAUCCUUGGUAUUAAAAAAACACUUAC